rnacentral:rRNA from 1 species
ACGGCUCAGUAACACGUGGAUAAUCUGCCCUCAGAAGAAGAAUAAUCCCGGGAAACUGGGGCUAAUACUUCAUAGGAGACGGGUGCUGGAAUGCUCUGUCUCUGAAAGGUCCGCCGUCUGAGGAUGAGUCUGCGUCCGAUUAGGUUGUUGUUGGGGUAACGGCCCAACAAGCCUUUGAUCGGUACGGGUUGUGGGAGCAAGAGCCCGGAGAUGGAUUCUGAGACAUGAAUCCAGGCCCUACGGGGCGCAGCAGGCGCGAAAACUUUACAAUGCGAGCAAUCGUGAUAAGGAAACCCUGAGUGCCUGUCAACGCAGGCUGUUCUGGUGUCUAACACACACCAGGAGAAAGGGCGGGGCAAGACCGGUGCCAGCCGCCGCGGUAAUACCGGCUGCUCGAGUGAUAGCCACUUUUACUGGGCUUAAAGCGUUCGUAGCUUGGUCGUUAAGUCUCUGGGGAAAUCUUUUGGCUCAACCAAAAGGCGUCUCAGGGAAACUGGCGACCUAGGAACCGGGAGAGGUAAGACGUACUUCGGGGGUAGGAGUGAAAUCUUGUAAUCCCCGAGGGACGACCGAUGGCGAAGGCAUCUUACCAGAACGGCUUCGACAGUGAGGGACGAAAGCUGGGGGAGCAAACCGGAUUAGAUACCCGGGUAGUCCCAGCCGUAAACGAUGUGCGUUAGGUGUGUCAGCGACCACGAGUCGCUGAGGUGCCGAAGGGAAACCGUGAAACGUACCGCCUGGGAAGUACGGUCGCAAGGCUGAAACUUAAAGGAAUUGGCGGGGGAGCACA